rnacentral:snoRNA from 1 species
GCUAUGAUUAUUUUCUUUUUAACCCUGAGGUCCUACGGUGAGGAUUAAAAAUACAACAACAACAACACUCUAAUUUUUUAAUGAGC